rnacentral:rRNA from 1 species
UACGGAGGGUGCGAGCGUUAAUCGGAAUUACUGGGCGUAAAGCGCACGCAGGCGGUUUGUUAAGCUAGAUGUGAAAGCCCCGGGCUCAACCUGGGAUGGUCAUUCAGAACUGGCAGACUAGAGUCUUGGAGAGGGGAGUGGAAUUCCAGGUGUAGCGGUGAAAUGCGUAGAUAUCUGGAGGAACAUCAGUGGCGAAGGCGACUCCCUGGCCAAAGACUGACGCUCAUGUGCGAAAGUGUGGGUAGCGAACAGG